CCUACGGGUGGCAGCAGUCGAGAAUCAUUCACAAUGGGGGAAACCCUGAUGGUGCGACGCCGCGUGGGGGAAUGAAGGUCUUCGGAUUGUAAACCCUUGUCAUGUGGGAGCAAAUUAAAAAGAUAGUACCACAAGAGGAAGAGACGGCUAACUCUGUGCCAGCAGCCGCGGUAAUACCGAGGUCGCAAGCGUUGUUCGGAACCACUGGGCGUAAAGCGUGCGUAGGCUGUUUCGUAAGCCGGGUGUGAAAGGUGCGGGCUCAACCCGCGGACGGCACAUGAUACUGCGAGACUAGAGUGAAGGAGGGGGAAGCGGAAUUCUCGGUGUAGCAGUGAAAUGCGUAGAUAUCGGGAGGAACACUAGUGGCGAAGGCGGGUUCCUGGACAGUAACUGACGCUGAGGCACGAAGGCCAGGGGAGCGAAAGGGAUUAGAUACCCCAGUAGUC
rnacentral:rRNA from 1 species